UCGUACUGCUGCCGCUGCUCCCCAUGGUUUAAGUUUGUUUGCUUGUUUAUUUUAAAUGUUUGAUUACUGUUGCCUUUUUCUGGUCAUUUUUAACUACAAGGAUUAAAGACUCAUGUUCAAAUGUUCUGACUCUUCGAUCGCACCAGGAUAUUAUCUACUAUCCGCGGCAGAAUUACAUCCAUCGUAGGUCACAACGGAAUUAUAUCGACGAUGACACUGGUCCAAUAUGACCUUUCAGCGCUCACCAAAGAAAUCAAUACGGACUGUUGACCACAGUGUGCUGGCCGAUAUCGCCCGCACUACUAGCAUCGAAUCUGAAAUUCUCUGUGAGGACCCUCAUCUCGGACAAGAUCACAGAGAGCUCAAGCAAUGGAGAUGAAACCGAAUAUGAGGCCAGUGUUGCUCUACCAUCACCUCCUCAACCCACAUCUCCCAAAGCAACAUCAGUGCCACUAUGCCCAUUGUUUAUUAGACUGCAAAAGCACAACCUACAGUGAAAGGAAUGGCCCGCACCCUCCUUCUGGGCCUGUUCAGCAUUGAUGGCCUACUGAAGUCCAACCUGACGGGAGGGGUCAAUAAGGUUGAUCCAUCUGCAGAGACGCCAGCCUCUGGACCCUAAGAAGCUUACAGCUUUACUCAAUGCAGUUGUUCAGCAACACCUAGGGGUGAAGAUUCCGGACAUACGAAUGGCCAUAAACAAAAGGAUCUGUGAGUUAAGACACCAGAAGAAAAAGACCAUGGACAACUAAAGGACUGGCCAAGGCUGGCCAAUGGGUCUUGAUAAGUUAGCAUGCAGGAUCCAUAACACUGCACUAAAGGAUUGUCCUGUUUUUUCCACUGAGGGAUUGUUCUAUUUUGUUGUUCUAAAGACUGUUUUAUUUUAUUACAACGAAGAACAGUUUACUUUAGGAAAUAUUUUUUUAAUUCUUUUAAGUAUUUUUGUUCAUUUACAGUUGUUGUUGCCAUCUAUUGGAUCACAUAAAAAUAUCAUGUUUAAAAGAAGAAAAAAAAAAAGAUUUUAUAGCCUUGAACUAAGUAUGAUAUGGCAUACAGUACAUGGCACAUCCCUACCAGCAAACCAGCUGUUUGCCAAGCACAUUAUGUACAUUAUGUGUACAUAAGCUUCACAUGGAACCAUGGUGACAUGCCUUUCAUUCUGUUUGUUCUCAGGUCACUGUCCCUUCAGCUGCUGCUUUUGAAAUAAACCUCAUUCAGUUACUGUGAACUAUAUUGAGGUCUUAUUCAAUCUAUUAUAUUUUAAAAUAUAUGACCGACAUUGUGC